ACACGACUACAUUAGAUACCCCUGUAGUCCUAGGCGUAAAUGAUGCGAGUUAAGUGGUGGGGGCAUCUACGAGAUGGCCCUGUGCUGUAGGGUAGCCGUUAAACUCGCUGCCGUGGGGAGUACGGUCGCAAGGCUAGAAACUUAAAGGAAUUGGCGGGGAGCACCACAAGAGGUGGAGGCUGCGGUUCAAUUGGACUCAACGCCGGAAAACUCAUCGGGAGCGACAGCAGUAUGAUUGCCAGGUUGAUGACCUUGCUUGACAAGCUG
rnacentral:rRNA from 1 species